CUUAGGAGCUUCAUUAAAACCUUCAGAUGGUUGUAAAGUCAAAUCUGAAGCUCCGUUGACGUUCCUUAGCACUGUUAGAGAGAAAUUUUGUCACAGCAAGAAAUAGUUGAAUAAAUUUAAGUACGUUGAAAUUAGAUAAUCAAUCUGGUGACGGUGUUCGUUCCCUUCCUAAAAUAGAUUCGCUUAAUUCAAUAUCAUAAAAGACAGAGAAGAAAGAGAAACCAUUUUAGGAAG
rnacentral:misc_RNA from 1 species